rnacentral:rRNA from 1 species
UACAGAGGGUGCAAGCGUUAAUCGGAAUUACUGGGCGUAAAGCGCGCGUAGGCGGCUGUCUAAGUCGGGUGUGAAAGCCCCGGGCUCAGCCCGGGAAGUGCGCUCGAAACUGCGCGGCUCGAGUGCCGGAGGGGAGAGUGGAAUUCCUGGUGUAGCGGUGAAAUGCGUAGAUAUCAGGAGGAAUACCGGUGGCGAAAGCGACUCUCUGGACGGCAACUGACGCUGAGGCACGAAAGCGUGGGGAGCAAACAGG